AGCAGUUCUCAGGUGAUGCGCCCCAGAAUCGGGCUCCCUCCUCUCUGGUUCCGGUGUGCGUCAACUGAGAACCACU
rfam:Myotis brandtii contig175496, whole genome shotgun sequence.